rfam:Gossypium hirsutum cultivar TM-1 chromosome 6, whole genome shotgun sequence
AACCCUUGGUGAGGGUACCUUCUCAAUAGAUCCUUAUACCUUUCCCAUGCAUCGUAAAGGGUUUCUAAAUCCAUCUGUACAAAGGAAGAGAUAUCAUUCCUCAAUGUGGCU